GGGAACAACAAUCGAAAUGUAAAUAAGAAAUACCCAAGUUAAUAAAGAUGAAAAAAAAAGGCACACCUUCUCUAACAAGGCAACAUCUACUCUAACAAGGCCACACCUACUCUAACAAGGCCACACCUACUCUAACAGGGCCACACCUAAUAGUGCCAUUCCCUGAGUCGAGCACAUAUCAACCAUCACAGCAGGUGAGUAUACUAGGCACUCGGGAAUGGUUUGAACAGUUUAGUCCUAAAGCGAAAAAACAUAAAAACGCAACUUCAAGGACCCUAGUUAGGCUUUAAAGACUGAACGUUCACGGGAGUGAAUUAGUGUACUGAAAAGAGUGUACUGAAAACAUUUAUGUCUGUUUGACUUAAAAUAUUUAAUACUUAUUAAAAAUCAAUGUUAAAAAUCAAACAAUUCAUAACUACUUUUGAAAUUCAUAAUUACAGCUCUUUUUUUUGGUUCUUUUUUUUUUUUUUUUUCUUGGAGCUGGGGACCGAACCCAGGGCCUUGCGCUUCCUGGGCAAGCGCUCUACCACUGAGCUAAAUCCCCAACCCCAUAAUUACAGCUCUUAUGUUACACCUCAAGAGUUGGGUUUCCUGUAAGAUAAAUGCAUAAAUGUAUGCUUCUACUCAGGAACCUGGAAAAGAAACGGGCGAGCUCAACAAAUAAUCUACAAUACGUUUGUUUUGUCGGUAAUCUUGUGCAGUAGUAAGUACUAGGACACUUUUAUGUUUGUUGUUUUAUGGGAAACAUAGUAAAGUAGUGGCUGCUAAAUGAACCAACCUUUAAACUCGGCACAUUUGUAAAUUUCAAUACCUUAGCUAUAUCACACAGAGAGAUAUCAAAAUGUUAUUUCUAGUACCAUCUAUUUCCAGGGUGAUUGAGAAUUCUCCAAAAAGGAAUUUGAAUUGUACUGUCUACCUGAAUUUGCUCACUAUAUGUGCCUCCCUUUAUGACAUAGUUACAUUUUUACCUUGCCAGGGCAACAGCUAGGGGAGCCACCUGGCCUGGGAAGGAAUAUUAUACACUGUACAUAUGGAUCAUUCCUGUGAAAUUCCAAUGAUCAAAGCUUUUUGCCAGGCGUUUCAUCUGUGAAAUCAAUUAUAAUUUCAUCACUUUCUCCUUCCCUUUUCUCCCUCCAAGCAAGAUUUGCUUAUGGAGAUCAUAUGGGCACCAACUUGACUGGGUUUGCUGUUGAGUACCAUCUUGAAAACUAUUGGGUAACAAAGAGGUGGCCUGCUUCAUGGGUUGUCCUUGGCAUGCCCAGUUUCUAAGUGACAUCUGUCAUUGGUGUUGGGCGGUAGAUGCUCUCAUCAAGGAGUAGAAGAUACGAAAGAGCUUAUGAUAUUUUAGUAUAAUUAAGUAGCUCAGAAUGUUGUCUCCGAAAAGACCCGUAGAAACAUUCUCGUUUAUCGCCUAUUUUUCUUUCUCAAAAAUAAAGAAAUAGACACUGAAUCAGCUGGGAACAAGCUCACUGCAGAAAGCUAUUUGUUUCCGGACUCCUUACUGAGAUCUCUAUCUGCAAACGAAUUAAGAAACACAGAAAAGAUCUCUGUCAUGAGGCGGCUUGGACUGAUGGGGGCAGUGUGAGGCCUGCUCAAGGUCGCAAGUGCAGACGUGCCCGUGUCAUUCAGAAGGUGACUGCGAUAGAGCAGAAUUGGACAGUUCUUGGCUCCUUCGCAAAUGGGAGCCAUCUCGUGAUGUCAUCCUGGGACCAGAAAUGUUCCGUACGUAACUGAAAUUCCAGUUUGCUCUCCUGUUUAAUUCUAGCCCAAGCAAUCUCCCACGCUUGGCUGUCAAGAGUGGUUAGAAACCUGCAAAUGGCUCAUAUGCAGAGAGAGGAUGUGAGAACAGCUUUAUCCUGGACCUGAAAUCUGUAAAUGAAGUUGGGGAUGCUCGCACUGAGCCUGGAGGGCAAGUGAGGGUCGAGGUUUCCCAUGCCAGUGGCCAACCCUUCUAAGACCCAAAUGAGUUUGCAGUGGUUGCUCCCCUGGCUCAGGAAGGAAGGCCGUUCAAGCUUCACUGAGGAACCCAGGGGAAGAAAGUGCAGUGAUGUGUUUAGAAAGUAGGAAACAAUUUUAGACACAAUCGGGCUGAAUGUUUAUUUCCCACUCCUCAGUACUCUGAGACAUUUAAAUUAAAGGGCACUUCUUUUUCAAAAUAUUACGACCUUUCUUGUGGUUCUAAACUUUUGAAAGGUCAGGAGUAGCUAUGAGAACACUUCACCUUCUCCUCACCGAAAGUAUAAGCUCAUAAAGGUUAAGAAGUCUCCAUCUUUUCUGUCGCACGCAUGGGUUAUUUAUGGCUAUAAUAUUUAUUUGCUUUUAAAUGAUUAAGGUGGCCAGAGUCAGGAGCUUCAGCUCUGCCAUGCAGCACUUGUUAGGAGGUGGGAUAAGGUACUGGAUUUCCCUGUCUCCUCAUUUGUAAAAUGGAAAUGAUAUUAAUAGCACUUGCCACAAAAUAUCAUUAUGAGGAAAAUAAUGCACUCAUUAUGUAACGUCCUUACAGUGGUGCCUGGCAUCCAACGAAUAUUUAUGGAACACCAUUAAACUAUGCGGCAGGCCUGCUCUUGGACUGGGCAGGAGGCAAUGGAAAAAAAAUUAUUGCUGUGAAAGGAUUUUAUCGUAUGACUUAAACUUGCACAAAUAUAUAUUUCAUAGGAAUUAAAAUCCCCUUUGGUUAUUUGAGUUCAAGUGUCUGUGCUGGGAAGUUAUAAUGUCACAUGGGUUCAAAUCUAUUGUUCUAAUUCCAAUUCUUGGUUUGUUUGUUUGUUUGUUUGUUUCUAAUUUUUCUGUGCUGGGUGCCAAACUCGGGGCCUUGAACAUUCUGGACAAGCAUUUUAGCACUGAGCUGCAACCCCAACCACAGCUCUAAUUCUUCAUUAAUGCUCACUGUACACCUGACGGUGUGCGCUCUGCAUAGCUAAUUUGAGCUGUGAAUAUCACCCUUAACUUGGCAUCGGCAUUUAUAAAAUGGGAAAGAGGCCAGGUACCAAGAAAACUAUUUAUUCUCUUUCUUUCCCACAUCUUUAUUCAUUCAUCUGUUAUGCUCAAAAAGUAAUUAGAGAUGUGCAUACACUGUACCAACAACUUGAUUCAGAUUUAACUACUGAGUGAGGCAAAUGUAAUUACAGUUGUCCUGCCGGGGGGCUCUGAAGCCAUGAUUGGAUUUCAGAAACUAGUCACAUCUCUGCUCUCAACAGGGCAUGCGGCUGAUGCUCUCACGCUUCUGUGCGGGCUUCCUUUCUGUUCUUUGCUACCUCGCUCCAACCCUGGUCCUGUCCAACAGCACUGGCAGGCUAUUAUUUUGGGGUGUGGCUGUUUGGGAGUUGCUCCUUUUAAAAAAACACUAUGAAAGAAUUUUAUCUUUAUAAAAAAGGAUGAGGAAAUAUACAGGGAGCUCUCCUGUGCCUUUUACCCAGCUUUUCAAUAUGCUAAAUCUUUUUUUAAAGUUUCUUUCUUUCUCUCUUUCUUUCUUUCUUUCUCUUUCUUUCUUUCUCUCUCUCUCUCUCUCUCUCUCUCUCUCUCUCUCUCUCUCUCUCUUUCUUUCUUUCUUUCUUUUUACACUUCAGACUUAUUCCCCUCCCAGUACACCCUACUACUGUUCACACAUCCCACACCUCCUCCCACCCCCACUCAACCCCCAAUCUCCACGAGGAUGUCCCCACCCCAUCCACACCACCAGACCUCUAAACUUUCAGGGGCCUCCAGUCUCUCGAGGGUUAGGUGCAUCUUCUCUGACUGAACCCAGACCUGGCAGUUCUCUGUCAUAUAUGUGUGGGGGGUCUCAUCUCAGCUGGUGUAGGCUGCCUGGUUGGUGAUCCAGUGUCUGAGAGAUCUCAGGGGUCCAGGUUAAUUGACACUGCUGGUCCUCCUACAGGGUUGCCCUCCUCCUCAGUUUCCUCCAGUUUUUCCCUAAUUCAACCAGAGGGGUCGACAGCUUCUGUUCAUUGGUUGGGUGCACAUAUCUGCACCUGACUCUUUCAGCUGCUUGUUGGGUCUUUGGAGGGCAGUCAUGACAGGUCCCAUUUUGUGAGUGCCCCACAGCCUCAUCUUAUAAGACUAUAAAAUAGCAUAAACCACAGGAAAUGGAUGUUGAUGUAGCCACCGAGCUCAUUCAGAUUCAAGUGGGAUUGAUUUUUCAAACCAUCACAUUUCACACUUGAUAAUCAAAUAACAUCACAGUAAAGAUUGAAGCUCACUUCGUGUGUUUAUUGUGCGUCUCAAAGCUUACCUGAGUGCAAUCACUGAUGUCUGUGUGUGUGUGUGUGUGUGUGUGUGUGUGUGUGUGUGUGUGUACAGCAAAAGUGUCCUCAUCAUUUUGUGAGACUGUUUUGAGCAACCAAUGGGAAAAUAAUAUGUACAUAUGCUUAAAAACUAAAGGUACUAAAUACAAUAAAGUACAAUGCCACCAACAUUUAGUUGUCUCAUUUAAGGACAAUGCCUCAAGACUAGGACCCAUAGACAAUAGGUUGUACUAACUUUCAGCCGCAGAAUACAGGGUGGUCGGACAGCUGGUGUAUACUAUGGGACUCAGCCAAAAUGUCAUCCUAAGUGGUAGGAUCAGGAUCACGGAGGUGGCAGGGACCUUGGAGCCUAAUACAGAGUUAUGCAAAAGUACCUGUAUUUUGAAAUACUGAAUGGCAGGUGGUCUUCUAAUCUCUGAUUAAAGCUCAGACAAUGGAUAUAUACCCCUUAUGGGUUGUUCUCCUUCUAUUCAGACAGUUUUACAUGCAUUCAAGGUCUUUACUAUGAAACUGCACUCUGCCUUCCCUGAAACCUUCAUGCAUUGGCCUUGGUUCUGUUAUUUGGGACCUGGCACAAUUGGAGGCCUCCUGGAGAUAUCAUUAUUCUCCUAAACAUUUUCUUCUCUUCAUCAAAUGACUUAAGUCUUUUAAUAGAGAGCAUCUCAGGGAAACAUGCUCAGAUAUGGCUACGUUCACUCGAUCAGACUACGGCAAUGUCCGGACCGACCAACACAUACCACACUCAACAGCUGGGGCAUGAACUGGGUGUCUGUCAAAGGUAUUUGAACCAACUUUCCUGCAAAGAUAUUAACACGUUUUUGAUUUUUUCUGCUUUAAUUUUUAUUUUGGUUCACUUUAUAUUGCUUUUAAAAAUCAAUUAAUGGUCCCUAGAGAUAUUAUCAAAGCUUUGAUAUUUAGCCAUGUCCCCCUGAUUGUGUAUAGACAGAGUCUCUGGCAUCUAAGCAUGACCUCAUGAGGAACUUUAUUAAGUGACAACUAUUAUUAUUAUUAUUAUUAUUAUUAUUAUUAUUUAUUGUGACAACUAUUGGGGUUUUUUUUAAUAUCUUGACUUUGUCACUAAGUAUAUUUACGGUCCCUGUUGGAUUCACACUGGCUGCAAUCCUUAGAAAUCAUCCUUCAGAGCGCGCUUGCGCAUAAAAGGGUGAAAAGGAGACCAUUAGAUAGCUAUAGAUUCAUACUGUAACACUUCGACCUCCUAUUAAUGUUAAAUUUUAAUUCAGCUAUUAGAUUUUUUGCCAAGGCUUGACAUAAGAAGCAGCCACACACCAAAGGACUCUGUACUUUCAAUGAGGCUCUAUUAGGUGAUUUGAUGUCUCAUUUGAACGAAUCCCAUGGGAAAUUUCUUUUCUAGCCAGAAACGAUAAAAAGAAUAAAAUAAAAUCUUUCCAUCAGAGUUAAGCUGUUAUGAGUUUCCUUCUGUUUUGACUUAGAAGAACAACAUGAAGAAAAAAAUCAAUUCCUCAAUUGCUGUAUCUUUUCUUUAUUUCUAUUUUAUUGAUUCCCCCUCCUCUCUCCUUCUAUUAUCUUGUUUCAAGUUACCAGUUAUGUGUUAAUAAAAUGAUAAACUUUGGCAGACAUGACAUUUCCUUUCUGAAUGUAACCAAGAUAUAGAUUGCUAUUAGAGACAUCAUUAUUUAAGAUUUUUGGGUUCAUAAGAUAAUUUAACCUUUAUCUAAGUUAGUAAGGCAUGGUUCUCAGACUGCUUGGUAAAGUAAGGUUAGCCACAACCCUUCGAAUCACUUCUUUCUAAGAUUCUCAGUUUAAAACAGUAUAUUCUGGACAUCUUUCAUAGAAGUCUUUGCAAAUGGCCCCUUGUUUCAAAUCUGACAUAGCAAUCACUUGAUCAUUUGCUAACCUUUUCUUUGGUUUUGGUCUUUCAAUUACAGAGCCUCCUACCCCAUUUUUUAUAAAAUAUUUUAUUUGCAGUAAGUACCAUAGCUUGUGUGAGAUUAUUUCUAUUGCAAGGACCUCUGUACCCAGGAUUAGAAGCGCUGGCUUCUCAAAUUGUAUUAACUAUGAUUUCUGUGAUGAGGGGCAGGGCAGUGAGCCCUGCAGUUUCUCAUUAUGAAAAUGCUUUGAGAUGAACAUGAGAUAAAAUGGAGGCAACUUUCUUUUUUAUUUAUUUUUUUAAAUUUUUUUAGAUUAAUCUUUUCCUCCUCCCAUUUUCUCUUCCCCCAACUCCCCUCUACCUCUCUUUCAAAUGCACACCCCCUCUUCCUUUCCUCUAAUUGUUAUUCCAGAAUUAUGUGUAUGCAUAUAUGAUUUACUCUUAAACUCUUUAAAAUGGGUAGUUGUUACUCUUGAGUUUAAUAAACUAGGCUAAGGUGAGGGCAGUGAUCAAGCACUAUGUCUUAAGUAACACUGUAGCUAGGGGUGGGCAUUUGUUAAACUGUAAUGAACAAAUGAUGUUUUUCUCUUUAACCAACUAUGUUGGAUGUUGACUUGGUUGAAAUUAGUGCUUUGUAAAUUAACAUGAUAUGGUUUUUAAGUGGAAACUACUAGUAAAUGGUAGCUUUUAGGUAAAUGUGAACUCUAGAGUCUUUGGAAACAGAAAGAGGACAUAAAAAUCCUUUACAAGGGGUUGGUAAAAAUGUGGCCAUAGGACAAAUGGAUGCUUUGUAAGUUUGACCCAGAGAUAUUCUCGCCCGGCUCAAGUGGAGAUGCUAAGCUUCUUGGAACAGCAGAUGGGCAGAGAAGUGGAAGCUACCAGCUUCACAGAAGAAAGUGAUUGCUACUUCCUUACUAAGGAACGUUUGCUAAUUUGCAUAUAGCUAUGUGUAUGUACAGCGGAAUUUUCUUUAAGAUUUAAUAAAAGCAAUAUUUCUGGCAAUUUUAAAAUCUCGCUCACUUCAAUCUUCUUUAGCGAUCACAAUUAUGGAUCAAAGGUGCAUCUGACCAAGUGAGGGGUGGAUCUUGGUAGAGAGGUUGCCUGAGUACUUUUCACCAAUGCCCUUAUAGUUAGUAACUUUUCUGCCAGCCUGCCUUCCUUUUAGAAAGUGAAGCUGGGGGCUGGGCACACUUACAGUCUGUAAUGAUAUAGACACGGAGCAGUAAAUCCAGGACCGUUUGAUUUCAUUGUUGCAAUGCUCCCUGCUGCUUCCCAGGUUCAUCACAAGGUCACUGCAGGAAUGGAUGCCUGCCUGGGAAAGGCUUGGAGCUCUGCUGCUUGCAAAUGUGUGGGUUAAGCAGAGGCUGUUUGCUCCCUUGAUAGAGAGUUGCAAGCCAAUUUACCUAUUAGAUUCAUGAUGUCAUACAUGGUUAUGUUUGCUUUGUGCAACUGUAACGACUGUGCACACAUCUGAGUGAUUUUAUUUUUGCUACUUUUCUUCCGAUUUUUUUCAACCUAUAAUUCUUUAGACUUGCAAAGUGUAUUUGGAGAAAUCAUAAAUUAAUAACCCAAGGCAUAGCUUACUGUGAAUCAUAAUGUUUGACCCUGCUUGGGAUCCUCUACAGAAAGCCUGGCUCUACAAUUUUCAUUUGAUACAAGCCUUGAAAAGGGAUAGUUAUUGAAAGGUCAAUAAAAUGCUUAUCUCAAAGCAUUAUCUCCUGGAAAAAGUAGAGAUAAUGGUGAUUUGGGGAUUGGAAUGAUGAUAUAAAAUAUUCAUGGACUGCCAGUUUUGAUGAUCAUUAGAGAACAGCACAGUGCAGUGAAUAGCUUUUCUGAAUUUAAAACCACUGCUUUUUAAAUAUGAGCAAAUGCAAAUAAGAUUAAAGAUAUAAAAAGAAAAUUUACACCACGGUUAUCAGUCAGAUGUUUUUUCAGAUACAUGUUAGAUAUUGUGUCUUGAACACAAAUCAAUGUUGCUACAAAGAACUCAAAUCUAGCUUACAUGUUAAAUCUUGUUCUUAUAAUAAUUGUUUUUAGAUCAAGGGGUAAGCAUAUUUUGAUAAAUUCCUGUUUAUAUUUCUGAAACUUGUGACCUCAGAUUGGUUAUGUUGGAUACAUAUAAAAGCUAAUGGAAACACUUAAUUUGCUUCCUAAUAAGCUAUUUCUUGGGGAGGCAUCUGUCUUGGUAAUGCUGCACUUGCCUAGCAUACACACAGCUCUGGGUUCGGUGCUUAGCACCAAAACAAAUGAGCAAACGAACUAACUAAUUAAGUAGCUAACUAACUGAAAUGGAACAAAACCUCAAACUCAACUGUUUGUAAGAAUUUGAGACGAAAAUGGCAUUGAAAUCAUAUUCUUCCAAACAUCCACUUAAUAGCAGUAUUGCGAGAAGGAAAGCCUAUGUGAUAAUUUCUUGGCAUGAUUUUCUGAUGUCCUAACUGUUGAUAUUUAUUAUACUUGUGCAAGAUGAAAUGAGAUAUAAAGAUAUGAAAUUACUGCCUAUAUAGGUUUAUACCCAUCCAAGUCCUGGAAGCCAGUUGGAGAUGGAUAUAAAAUUGCUGUCCAUAUUGUAAUCUCAACAUUGGCUUCAGUAAUGGGGUGGGGGUGAGGGAGUGGGGAAUGUACUUAGGGAGAAGAAAAAUCUCUGGGUAUUUCAUCAACAUACCACUCCGUUCACUGAUAGCAACUGGUCUCCUCUUUUGAGGCCUCCGUGUCUUUCAGCCACCCCUCCAGGGAUGAUGCGGGAGAUGUAAAUUGGAGAAUUCUGUUCCUUUCCUCCCAUCACGUUAAAACCCAGGCCUUCAUCAGUCUUUGGCAGUUCGACUACCCGAGGGUGGGAGUGGCCUUCGCUGGCUGCAAAAGCCGCAACUGUUGCCUGAAAGAGAAGAUGUUCUUUUGGUAAUAGAACAUGGGAAGUAAGGCUGAGCAUGUGAUCUUCAGGGAACACUGUCCUAGACAUCUCUCUAGCAUUCUCCUGUCGAAGGAAGAGCACAGGAUAGCUUCUUCUAGAUGUGGUAUAUGACUGUCUUCUUCGGUAAACCCUCACCUAGUUAUUUUUACCUUUGCAAGGCUUAUCUCCAACGAAAAAUGAAACCAAAACCAAAAUCAAUGUAAAUUCUUUCAGAGGUCCAUCAGCUACAUGUAAAUCCUGAUCAACAACUCCAAAUAUUUGUACACAUACAACCUAGUGUAAUUAUUGAAUGCAUGUUGAUCAUUGAAGCAGGGGCACACUUUUCCAUGCUGUUGCUAUGGUAUAUAGUUGUUACUUCAGUACAUAUCCAUCAAUUCUUAUUCAACAGACCGGUAAGCAAGUUUGUAUGCAUACGUUCAUGAAAACAUCUUGCUAUUACUGAACCACUGGUUUAGUAAAUAUAAAGAUUUUUAUUUUUUAAAUGCAGGAUGCCUAAAUGAAAAUAAAAUAAAAAGGAAGUGCUAGAUUAAAAGAUAGGAUUGCUGUCUCAUACCCGUAGUCUAUGUUACUAUGCAUGAUGUCUUAUUAGGUCAUUGAUUAUAUCUCUCUUAAUGCUACACUAACAUGCCAGCUAGUACAACGAUAUGAGAAAAAUGACUGGUUUGGGGAAUUAUACCUAGACAUACAAAAUUUUAUUUAAUAUGGUAGUGGCUUUAUUUUAAGAUUAACGUAGUAGUCUCUUUGAAUUCAAGAAGUCAACUUACCAUCAGUUCCCACCCAAAAGGAAUACAAUAGUAGUUUCAAUCAAGCAAAGACUCUCUGCCUGCUUCUUGUAUUCCACUCCCAUUAGCUUGCCUCAACCACAGUUGAUUAGAUAUCUAGUAUGAAGUGAUUUACUCUCAACACUGUGAAAAUAUUGAUUUCCAACUACUGUACGUUCUUUAUCCACACACCGCAUUAUCACAUCAGUUUAGCAUUAUGCUACUGCCUGCGUUUAAUGAGAGAGAGGGAAUGGCAUGGAAAUAAUGGCUUGGUUUUAGCUACAUGCAUUUGCUCAUGCAAGCCCUGUUGUCAUGCAGGGGUUUUAAUGGCUGACAUGGAUGCAAUGCAGACAGCCCAGAAACAACCAGAAAAAAAAAUAUUGUGCUAUUGCAACAUUAUGCUGCUAUCCUGCUGUUCUACAUGAAUAAGAAAUGAGAAUGGUAAAAACACUACAUAAUUCACUUUCCCCUUAAUUAAACCAUGUAGGGAUCAUUUUUCUCUGUGUGUUCCACUUCAGAACAAGCAAAGCAUGAGGUAAUGGUAAUCAUACUCUUUAUUUGCUGGGGUUAGAAAGAAACUAAGAAAAAGAGGAAGAGGAAGAGGAGGAGAAGGAGAGGAAGGGGAAGGGAAGGAGGAGGAAGAGGAAGGGGAAAGGGAAGGAGGAGGAAGGAAAAGAAGAGGAGGAGGAAGAGGAGAAGGAAGAGGAAGAUGAGAAAGGGAAAGGAGGAGGAGGAAGAGAAAGAAAAGAAGAAGAGGAGGAAGAGGAAGAAGAGGAAGAGGAAAAGGAAGAA